rnacentral:rRNA from 1 species
CCAAUAGCGUAUAUUAAAGUUGUUGCAGUUAAAAAGCUCGUAGUUGAAUUUCGGGAUUGACGUGAUGGUCGUGCCUUAAGGGGUAUGAACUGUUGCUGUUGAUUUCUCACCUUCUGGAGAAACUUGAUGUCCUUAAUUGGGUGUCUUGCGGAUCCAGGACCUUUACCUUGAAAAAAUUAGAGUGUUUAAAGCAGGCAUUUUGCUCGAAUACAUUAGCAUGAAAUAAUAGAAUAGGACGGCAUGGUUCUAUUUUGUUGGUUUCUAGGAUCACCGUAAUGAUUAAUAGGGAUAGUUGGGGGCAUUAGUAUUCAAUUGUCAGAGGUGAAAUUCUUGGAUUUAUUGAAGACUAACUACUGCGAAAGCAUUUGCCAAGGAUGUUUUCAUUAAUCAAGAACGAAAGUUAGGGGAUCGAAGACGAUCAGAUACCGUCGUAGUCUUAACCAUAAACUAUGCCGACUAGGAAUCAGACGAUGUUAAUUUUUUAAUGACUCGUUUGGCACCUUACG